UUUUAGAAUUUAAUUUAAAGUCUAACCUGCCCACUGAAAAAUUUUAAAUGGCCGCAGUAUCUUAACUGUGCAAAGGUAGCAUAAUCAUUAGUCUUUUAAUUGAAGGCUGGAAUGAAUGGUUGGAUGAAAUAUUAACUGUUUCAUAAAAAUUUAUAAUAGAAUUUUAUUUUUUAGUCAAAAAGCUAAAAUAUUAUUAAAAGACGAGAAGACCCUAUAAAUCUUUAUAUUUAAAUAAUAUUAAUUAUUUAGAUAAAUUAAAUUAUUAUUAUUUUAAAUAUUUUAUUGGGGCGAUAUUAAAAUUUAAUAAACUUUUAAUUUAUUAUAUACAUAAAUUAAUGAAUUAUUGAUCCAUUUAUAAUGAUUAAAAAAUUAAGUUACUUUAGGGAUAACAGCGUAAUUUUUUUAGAGAGUUCAUAUUGAUAAAAA
rnacentral:rRNA from 1 species